rnacentral:tRNA from 1 species
GGAGGGGUGUCCGAGCUGGUUGAAGGAGUUAGUCUCGAAAACUAAUAUACGUGAGACCAUAUCGAGGGUUCGAAUCCCUCCCUCUCCU